rnacentral:rRNA from 1 species
UUCCCUACGGGAGGCAGCAGUGAGGAAUAUUGGUCAAUGGACGCAAGUCUGAACCAGCCAUGCCGCGUGCAGGAUGACGGCUCUAUGAGUUGUAAACUGCUUUUGUACGAGGGUAAACCCCGAUACGUGUAUCGGGUUGAAAGUAUCGUACGAAUAAGGAUCGGCUAACUCCGUGCCAGCAGCCGCGGUAAUACGGAGGAUCCGAGCGUUAUCCGGAUUUAUUGGGUUUAAAGGGUGCGUAGGCGGAUCGUUAAGUCAGUGGUCAAAUUGAGGGGCUCAACCCCUUCCCGCCAUUGAAACUGGCG